CCGAAGACCAAAUCCCAACAUCCUCUUUAAUUAUUGCUCUGUAGAAUUACGAUUGCUUUGGAAAAUAAAGGAAUACCACAUUUAGAUGAUGUUUAAUAGUUCUUUAACCAGAAAUACAGCCAUUUAACGAGCAUAUAACCAUCUAUGAAACCACCUUUCUAGUUCUGCUCUACCUCUCAAGAUUUACAGCAAAGAAACAAGAUUUACAAGUUGUUUCUCUAAUGCUUUACACAUAAAUUAACAUAAAAAUCCAGCUACUACCAACUUUUUCUCAGCAUUUACUUGACUAUCCUCCAAAGCCUACUGAAUGCAAAUCAAAAGUUUAGACAAAUGAGAGGAUUACCUGAAAGUCACCCGCAGAAAACAAUAAUCCUGCUCUCGUGUUAGAGCACAUAACUCCAGCAAUUUGGCAAGAAGUUACAUCUCCUCCUCGCCCACAACGAGCAUAUUCCAACAAUUUCCUCCAGGAUUUAUGUUCUUCUGUAUAGCUUAGUUAACGCUAUCUCCUUUCAAAGGAAUGACCCACGCAGACAUUUCAAAGCAAGGUGUUUGUGGCACCUAUACCUUUCUUUCCCCCAGUGUAUUCCCCCUUGUCACCGCUCUUCUGUACCAGUGGAGGGGAAAAACAAGAAGACUGAUUUCCUUCAGACUCUGCCUAUGUACCACAAACUACUAGGCAGUGUAAGACGUUUUGCAGUUUCACCUAUUUGCUUUCAAACCGCACCGACCCAACCCCACCCUCAGAGCGUGAACCAAGCAGGAAGCACUCUCUGAAAAGCACUUGUGCCCACGGCGUUUUUAUCCUACUCGAGGCAUAUUUUUUAGCGCGGCGACUGCGCACAGCCACCCCUCAGAAACGCCAGGCAGCCUCCCUCGCGCAAGUUUUUAAACAGUUUUCUUUUUUGGUUGUUGUUGUUGUUGUUGUUGUUGUUGUUGUUGUUGUUGUUGUUGUUGUUGUUGUUUUCCCCCCCGCAGCCCAGAAGCAGGAGCGGCUUCCUCCUCACCCAGGCCUCCGCCGCAGAGCUCACGCCGGCUGCGGAGAGCUGUGGGGGCCCAAAGCCCCCACCCCGCGCGGCCGCCCGCGCGCCCAGACCGGCCCGAACCGGUCCGGGCCGGGCGGAGCCGUUGCGGCCGGGCGGGGCCGCGCUCACCUGCCCUCCCCGCUUCAGCGGCGGGCGGUGCGGGGCUGGGGAGAUGGCGGCCGCCGACCCUCCGGGCGCUGGGGAGCUCUCGCAGCUGGCGGAAAAUCUGCUGUAUCAGCUGCAGGAGAAUUUUCAAGCUCUGAGUGA
rnacentral:lncRNA from 1 species